GCCCUCAUAGCUCAGUGGAUUAGAGCGUUCGCCUCCGGAGCGAAAGGCCGUGGGUUCGAUCCCCACUGAGGGCA
rnacentral:tRNA from 1 species